UCCUAAACCUGGUUGACGCGGUAGCUUCCGAUUUUCUUCAAAUCGGGACUACAAGUAAAAAACAGGACGAAAC
rnacentral:sRNA from 1 species